rnacentral:lncRNA from 1 species
UACUGGUCAUGGCUCUCUGGUGUGCCUGCCUGGAAUCCCAGCAGCCUGCCUCUAAUAUAUUGUUGUGUUCUUUGCAGGCCUACUGAUUCCUGGGGGCUCUUGUUCUACUCUACAGCCUGUACGUGAGAAGACAGCAGGAAGAAACAAGGAGUCAGUCUCGUGUAGUAACCCAGUCAGCUCAAGUUUGAAGUAAAUCCUACAGAAUCACUGAAUGGUUAAGGUUGGAAGGGACACCACUCACAGUGAGAUUCAGGAGGAGCAAAAGAUGUGCCAGGCAAGCAGCUACUGGUGAACAGGAGACAGAACAGGAAGGGAAGGAGCCAGCGACACGCACAGGUUGGGCAACCACAGGAUGCUCUGCAGCAACGACCUGACCUCAGCCAGCGGCACUGCCGGAGAGGGAGCACCCAGUGCAAACACCGGGGAUCUGACAGACAAGAGGAAGGAGGAAACCAAACAUUCCUCCUGCCCCCAGAGGGGCCCCGGGUGCCGUCCCAGCCAGGGCCAGCCUGGAUAUCUGUAUCUAGCUACACGCUCUCCCUUCCUCUCUUCCAUGGGCAAGCCCGUCUGCUAAGCCCUCUUUUCUUCCUGCCUCGUGAUGGUUUUAUUUCUGGUGUGCAAGCCUGUCCCAGCCAGGGUGAGCCUACAACUGCAGUGAGCCUAGUCCAAGAAAACAGUUUUCCUUACUGGAAUUUUUAGGAAAUGUAGGGUAGAACAGUGUUACUGAGCAUUACUAGAAUGCAGUGUAAAUUCUUGAACAAAAGUAUAAUUGGGCCUUCAGCCAUUUAAGUAUCACUAUAAAUUCUUACUUAAUGCCUUUGGAAUCCACAUGUAGUGCCUCUUAACUGCUGCUCCAAACAGGGCAGAUUAAAGAUAAUUAGGAUAAGACAGGAUAAUUAGAUAUGAUGUGAUCACCAGCAAAAAUUCUGCAAGAAUUUACAGCUGUGUAAUCCCAGUUGAUUUCAAUAAGAUGGAACAGGAUUUUGUAUCAAUGCAAAAUUGACAUCUAAGUCUUCAGUGCUCCAUGUAUCACAAAUAUGCUUUAAAAUGCCAAUUCUUUCUGGUGUUUUAUAUAAGCAUUAAUAGAUGCUAUGCAUAACCCUAAUUCAAGAGCCUGGUAGAGCAUAUGAGAUGUAAAAACUGGCUAUUUUAGCCAAGGAUCAAAUCUGAGUUCCCAGAUUUUAGAUGAGAAUUUUUUGCUUAGCCAUGGUGAUUGAUGUCCAGUAUUAUUUUCCACAGAGUUGGUGACAAAACUCCCCUAAGAAUAUUUAGUAUUUAUAUAUCUAUAAGUUAGUGCAUUUAGUAUCUAAUAUAUAUAUGUGACAUUGUUGAAAAUUCACUUCAUGAAUAUCUGGA